CCUACGGGUGGCAGCAGUGGGGAAUAUUGGUCAAUGGGCGAAAGCCUGAUCCAGCAACUCCGCGUGAAGGAAGAAGUCUUUCUGUUUGUAAAACUCUUUUAACAGGGAAGAACAUAACACUCUACCUGUCGAAUAAGCCACGUCUAUCUAUGUGCCACCAGCUGCUGUAAGACGGAGGUCGCAAGCUUUCUACGGAUUUAUUGGGUGUAAAGGGCGUGAAGACGGGAUAACAAGUAAGAUGUGAAAUCCCGGGGCUCAACCCCGGAACUUCUGUGGACACUGUUGGUCUUGAGUAUUGGAGAGGCAGGUGGAAUUCCUAGUGUAGCGGUGAAAUGCGUAGAUAUUAGGAGGAACACCAGUGGCGAAGGCGGCUUUCUGGACUGCAACUGACGGUGAGGCGCGAAAGCGUGGGGAGCAAACAGGAUUAGAUACCCUUGUAGUC
rnacentral:rRNA from 1 species